GAAGAAGCAGGGCAAGUAGAAGUACUCUCUUGUUGUGGUAUGGCAAUCCUCAAUAGCGAUACAAGGACCAUUGUCUACACCAUGGCGGUUGCUCUCUUGGUCGUCAUGAUGAUGUCCUCUUCGUUGCCAUCUUGUCAUGGAACUGAUGAAGAGGAGGGUUGGGAGUGCCGUCAAUUACUGCACUGCACUGCUCCGGGGUGCCUCUCUUAUUGCAAAGUUUUAAAACAUGGUGAAGGUCAUGCUUACAGUAUCAUGUCCAAAUGCCGUCACAACAGAACAGAGUGCUGCUGCCGAGACUACAAUCAGCCGCCGCCGCCAAGAGAUCUCGUGCUUGUGCAAAACAAUGCUGGUGCAUGAAGUCGUUGCAUGUUUUGAUGAACCUGCAGUCGGAGCAUUAAUUGAUCUAUCCGAUAAAAAUCAAAUAAACUUGUUUUAUCUUCA